AUUGAACGCUGGCGGCAGGCCUAACACAUGCAAGUCGAACGAGUGGCGGACGGGUGAGUAAUGUCUGGGAAACUGCCUGAUGGAGGGGGCUAACUACUGGAAACGGUAGCUAAUACCGCAUACCAUCGGAUGUGCCCAGAUGGGAUUAGCUAGUAGGUGGGGUAAAGGCUCACCUAGGCGACGAUCCCUAGCUGGUCUGAGAGGAUGACCAGACACACUGGAACUGAGACACGGUCCAGACGCCUACGUGAGGCAGCAGUGGGGAAUAUUGAACAAUGGGCGAAAGCCUGAUGAAGCAAUGCCGUGUGUAGGAAGAAGGCCUUCGGGUUGUAAAGUACUUUCAGCGGGGAGGCGUGACCCGCAGAAGAAGCACCGGCUAACUCCGGGCCAGCAGCCGCGGUAAUUC
rnacentral:rRNA from 1 species